UGGAUUUUCACAUCUGUUUGACAG
rnacentral:piRNA from 1 species